AUGGGUUACCUCUUCUCCUUGCCGGUCCACCCGAGGGACGUUCUACCGUCAACAGUCGUGCUCGAUAGUGUAUUCAUUAUGCAGCUGAGUGUGUAGGAGCCAGCGUAAGAGGGGGUAGCUCAUUUCUUCAUCCCAUUCAGAAAUCGGACCCAGGACCCUUCACUUACGAGGUAUUGGAAAGUUAUGAAGACUAUAUACUGUAUAGUUGGUAUGGAUGUCGUGAAGUGAAGAAGAGUGACGAGAGGAAGAAUGAAGAGAGGAAGCACACAGUUUGGUCCCAAGGAGAGCGAAGAGACCUAGGAGACAAUGAGCGAGCGGUGAACAUCUGUGUUAAGAGUGUUGUGGGCAGUGUUCAUUUCCGAGUGUCACCGGAAGGCCAUAAUUGUACUAAGGUUAUGUAACUCAGUGUUAUUUGUAAUUGUGACAUAUUUUGGAUGUAUUGUUUUGGUUUCAAUUGUUAGUGUUUUAGUUCUCAGUUGACGUCAGUUUUAAACAAGUGAGUUUAUUUGUAUAACGCGAGUUGUGUUAUAUUUCCGAGAAUAUUGUGUUGUUUCUACUAGUUUAUGAUUUUAAUGCCAAGGGCAUUAGUUUCUAGAAGUGUAGACCUACAGGCAUGGUCCGUAAGAGUGUUUCAUGUUUAUUUGAGAUCUAAUACAUGUAUAAUUUCAGGAAUUGCAUUGAUGGGUUGAGGACUCUCUGGUGAUAUGGACAUGUGUGAAAGAACCCAAUCUUUGAAAAUUGUUUGUGGGAAAAUACAUGUAAUGAAAGGACUCCCAAUUGUGAGUACAACAGAGUACAUUGUGAAGUGAUAAGUGUUAAAAUCAUUGCAAUUGAAAAGACAGUGAAUACUUGUUGAGUACCAAGGGGACAGUCUCGUAAAGUAUUACAGUGGUAUCAAUUAUUUUUUUGGGGGGCAAGACUCGCAGUAAUGGAAAUGUCUAUGGUUCUCUUUAAAGUUAGUUGAUUUUCGAGAGUACAGUGGAAUUCCGGAAGAGUUCAUACAGUGUUGCACCAUGCAGAGAUUGUCAAUAGUAAGUAUCAUUACCUUGAGUUUGCACAGUGAGUCUUGAAAAGUAACAGAAGAGUACAGUGAUGUUUUCCUUGUGUAUUGUUCAGUGAAGCCCUGAAGUAAAAGUUCACAUGUCCAGUAUUAUCACUAGGGGAGCGAGUAAUAAUUUGAGCAGUAUUUAUGCAGUAAUUCUGAAUAGUAUUUCUAGUGUUUUUUGGGUAUUAGAAGGUCAGUUAGGCAGUAAUCCGAUUGUAUUUGAAGGUGUGCACUGUGCCCGUGUUGUGUAGUUACAGUGAGUUGUUGUGACCUUCAGGCAUGAUGGCCGUCACAAGGGAGCAGUUCAGGGCAGUCAGCUCAGAACCUGUGUCCAGUGAGUUGAUGGGUAGAGUUGAGAAGUAUGUGGGUGGAGACGUGUUCAUUCACAGGAAUGACACCCAGGUCUCACCACCAGUUGCUUCAUCUGGUGAGUGGCCUGAUGGACAGGGAGGUGUAGAAGGGAAGAAGAGUAAGGAAUGCCUCUCUUGCAUCAGUGUUGCCGAGAUAUCUUUGAAGGGUUGUAGACCUUUGCCUGGAAUGCAUUGGUUUUAAUGUGCAUGGUGAAGAGUGAUGUUUUGCAUAUUUGUGUUGCAAUUUAGAAGUACAACUGGUAAGUGAGAGAAUGUGUUGUUGCUUUGCAUCAUUAAGUUGUGGUAAGUGAGUAUGUUGUUUGUCCAUGUGAGUUGUGGAAUGUGGUGCAAUGGGAAUGUUUGUGAGUAUGUAGGUGUUUGUGAAUUUUUUUCUUUUGAUUUUUUUCCGGAGAGGGAUUGUCAAGUUGCAGUAAAGACAUAGAGAUUGGAAGAUGGAUUGGCUGUUAUGCAAUCAUCUGGUGGGUAUCUGUUACCAGUUGAGUAAAGAUAUCAGUUGUGAGUUCUCAAGUUUUGUGGGUUAAGUCCUAGCUAGGCUUGCUGUUGAGUAUAGUAGUAGAGUUUCUGACUUUUAGCUGGGGUCAGCCACGGUUAAGCAUGGCGCUGAUUUCUGCUAAAUGGCAAAUGCCAUAAGAAAAUACCGUUUCGUUUUGAAUCGUAUUCUUGGGAAUAUCACCGCUCGUUCGGGGUCCCUCGAAGUAUGCUACGACUCGCGAGUGUGACAUGACUUUUUGGAAUAAAGUCAAACAAAUCAUUCCUUCGGCUGGAUGGGGUCCGUUCAUCUAUGUCCUUGCUUGAGAAGUCUAAGUUAAAUCUCAGUGCUGUGGAGUAAGCAUUUGAUCAAUCUCCUCUUUGAAAUUAUUUUUUAUAUGAGAAUCUGUAUCUCCAGAGUGUGUAUUUUGUAACAAAAUUUUUUAUGUUAUGUAUGUAACCGAAUUUUUAUGUUUUUCUGUAUCAUUACAUAUUUCUCCUAAGUAUGUAUAAUUACCUGUAUUUUGUUUCCCUAUUCAAUGUUGUCAGUGAUAAUAUUGGUUUUUUUUACUACCAUUUAUCCCAUGUAUGUACCCAUUGUGUUCUUGUUUUGUAUGCCUUUUUGUGCCAGAUGCCUGUAAUUUUCCUGAUGUGUUGCAAUGAGCAUAUAUAGUGUGACACCAUGAUGAAAGGUAAACGUUAUUUAAAGAAUCUGUGUAAUUACUGUACAUGUUUAGCGAAUGCUACCGCAUAAUAAGAAUCAUUGGGAAAGGGGGAGCUUUGUCAUGGUCACAAUGAUGGCUAGUCUGUUUUAACUCUGUUGAAUCUUAUUAUGCUACACGCCCGCAAAACAUGAAUGGGUAGCUGGUUAGCUAUCCCUAAGAAGAAACGCGUUUUUCCCUCUCUCGUUUUACAAUAAGGAUCCCUCCGUAAGCCCCACCUUUGUGAAGACAGUUGUCAAUACGUUUUUAUUCCACUUUCUCUUG
rnacentral:lncRNA from 1 species